rnacentral:rRNA from 1 species
CACGGCAGCUAGCUCUCUGCAACUCUCACAUGGUCACCCACUGAAGCCAAGCAGGGCUGCGCCCGGUCAGUACCUGGAUGGGAGACCACAUGGGAAAGCUAGGUUUCUGCCGGAA